rnacentral:rRNA from 1 species
GUGCUGAAGCAACAAAUGCCCUGCUUCCAGGAAAAGCCUCUAAGCAUCAGGUAACACGAAAUCGUACCCCAAACCGACACAGGUGGUCAGGUAGAGAAUACCAAGGCGCUUGAGAGAACUCGGGUGAAGGAACUAGGCAAAAUGGUGCCGUAACUUCGGGAGAAGGCACGCUGACACGUAGGUGAAGUGAUUUACUCAUGGAGCUGAAGUCAGUCGAAGAUACCAGCUGGCUGCAACUGUUUAUUAAAAACACAGCACUGUGCAAACACGAAAGUGGACGUAUACGGUGUGACGCCUGCCCGGUGCCGGAAGGUUAAUUGAUGGGGUCAGCGUAAGCGAAGCUCCUGAUCGAAGCCCCGGUAAACGGCGGCCGUAACUAUAACGGUCCUAAGGUAGCGAAAUUCCUUGUCGGGUAAGUUCCGACCUGCACGAAUGGCGUAAUGAUGGCCAGGCUGUCUCCACCCGAGACUCAGUGAAAUUGAACUCGCUGUGAAGAUGCAGUGUACCCGCGGCAAGACGGAAAGACCCCGUGAACCUUUACUAUAGCUUGACACUGAACAUUGAGCCUUGAUGUGUAGGAUAGGUGGGAGGCUUUGAAGUGUGGACGCCAGUCUGCAUGGAGCCGACCUUGAAAUACCACCCUUUAAUGUUUGAUGUUCUAACGUGGACCCGUAAUCCGGGUUGCGGACAGUGUCUGGUGGGUAGUUUGACUGGGGCGGUCUCCUCCUAAAGAGUAACGGAGGAGCACGAAGGUUGGCUAAUCCUGGUCGGACAUCAGGAGGUUAGUGCAAUGGCAUAAGCCAGCUUGACUGCGAGCGUGACGGCGCGAGCAGGUGCGAAAGCAGGUCAUAGUGAUCCGGUGGUUCUGAAUGGAAGGGCCAUCGCUCAACGGAUAAAAGGUACUCCGGGGAUAACAGGCUGAUACCGCCCAAGAGUUCAUAUCGACGGCGGUGUUUGGCACCUCGAUGUCGGCUCAUCACAUCCUGGGGCUGAAGUAGGUCCCAAGGGUAUGGCUGUUCGCCAUUUAAAGUGGUACGCGAGCUGGGUUUAGAACGUCGUGAGACAGUUCGGUCCCUAUCUGCCGUGGGCGCUGGAGAACUGAGGGGGGCUGCUCCUAGUACGAGAGGACCGGAGUGGACGCAUCACUGGUGUUCGGGUUGUCAUGCCAAUGGCACUGCCCGGUAGCUAAAUGCGGAAGAGAUAAGUGCUGAAAGCAUCUAAGCACGAAACUUGCCCCGAGAUGAGUUCUCCCUGAGACUUAG